rnacentral:rRNA from 1 species
UACGGGGGGGGCAAGCGUUGUUCGGAAUUACUGGGCGUAAAGGGUUCGUAGGUGGCUUGCUAAGUCAGACGUGAAAUCCCUCAGCUUAACUGGGGAACUGCGUCUGAUACUGGCGAGCUUGAGUGCAGGAGAGGAACGCGGAAUUCCAGGUGUAGCGGUGAAAUGCGUAGAUAUCCGGAGGAACACCGGUGGCGAAGGCGGCUUCCCGGACCGACACUGACGCUGAGGCGCGAAAGCUAGGGGAGCAAACGGG